UAUGCUCCGGGAUCUCAGAAGAAUGAAACCGGUACUCUCUCCAGCGGGGGUUUGGUUUCUCCCCACAUCGUCAAUGCUGCAGAUGAAGACAAGGCUGACAGCGACUGUGACUUAGAUAGCUGGAUUCGCCCGUGUGUCCCAGGAGAAAAGCUCGACAAUUGGUCGUCCGAAAAACCGUCCGGGUUAUUCUACUGAAAGAGUGAUUUUUAUUGUUUUCC
rnacentral:lncRNA from 1 species